rnacentral:lncRNA from 1 species
UGCUCGGAGCACUCACCUACUACUGCCUCCAUAUAAUAGCCGAGUCCAGGCCCUCCAAUCUCUGGAUUGUCACCCAAACGAUCACUGACGUCGGGGCUCUCAGCUUUGCUAUGGCGAUGGGAAUGGUGACUGGACUGCUGACAGGUUGUCUCCUAAGUGUCAAAGUGUGGAGGGCUCCCCAUGCAGUCAAGUACUUUGAUGAUCAGGCUUUCUGGGAGUCUUGCCUUCACAGUUCCCCCACUUGGCUGUCGAAUUUUAAGCAAAACCAUCUGAGAACGAGGCUGAGCACGGCGAGCCCUUCCUUCACCUUCCAUUUGUCUGCAUCAUGUGUUACAAGAAAGGCUUCCGAGUGAUGGUCGAAGUUUAAAUAUGUUCGCUUUCAUGACAGAUACGAUCAAUACUUUUGGCUGAAGACACCUCAUUAAAGUUCUGGUCUAAUUCUACGC